rnacentral:lncRNA from 1 species
CCUUGAGCUUUUUGGGGAUUCUCAAUUUCAUCCUAAAUUUUUAUUUAGUGCAAUCAAGUCAUCAAAUUUUCAAAUUUUUUCAAUUCGGACCCUAGUUGUAAUUUUCGUCGGUCUGUCGUGAUGGAGUUGUCACGUGAUGGCAUGUGACUCACUUAGGUGGCUUCCUUUUUACUGACAUGAAAAAACACUUCAAAGUUUCAUUUCUCUUUUUCUCCUAUCUUCCAUCUAGGAUUUUCAUACAAUUUCUAUUUCUUCUUCCCAUCUCAUUGGGCUAUUGGAUGCUGACAAUGGUUGCAAGACGGUGAGCA